UACGGAGGGAGCUAGCGUUGUUCGGAAUUACUGGGCGUAAAGCGCACGUAGGCGGCUAUUCAAGUCGGGGGUGAAAGCCCGGGGCUCAACCCCGGAACUGCCCUCGAAACUAGAUAGCUAGAAUCUUGGAGAGGUCAGUGGAAUUCCGAGUGUAGAGGUGAAAUUCGUAGAUAUUCGGAAGAACACCAGUGGCGAAGGCGACUUCCUGGCCUGUUCUUGACGCUGAGGCGCGAAAGCUAGGGUAGCAAACGGG
rnacentral:rRNA from 1 species